rnacentral:rRNA from 1 species
AUUGAACGCUGGCGGCAUGCUUUACACAUGCAAGUCGAACGGUAACAGGGACUUCGGUCUGCUGACGAGUGGCGAACGGGUGAGUAACAUAUCGGAACGUGCCCGGUAAUGGGGGAUAGCUCGGCGAAAGCCGGAUUAAUACCGCAUACGCCCUGAGGGGGAAAGUGGGGGAUCUUCGGACCUCACGUUAUUGGAGCGGCCGAUAUCAGAUUAGCUAGUUGGUGGGGUAAAGGCCUACCAAGGCGACGAUCUGUAGCUGGUCUGAGAGGAUGAUCAGCCACACUGGGACUGAGACACGGCCCAGACUCCUACGGGAGGCAGCAGUGGGGAAUUUUGGACAAUGGGCGAAAGCCUGAUCCAGCCAUGCCGCGUGAGUGAAGAAGGCCU